GGGGCCUUUCCCGAGGGGUGGUUUUCCUGAGCCCUUCCCGCGUGUCCCCCCGCCUCACCCCGGGCUCUGGGGCUGUUCACAGCCUCCGUCCCACCGCGGCAGGCGCUGCUGGGUGUACAGAGCUGUGCGAGCCCUCGGGAAGAAGCGCAGAGAGGCUGUGCCUGGCUGGAAGCAGCUACACGGCCCCAUUAACCAAACGGAGCCUGGAGAACGUCUGACAUGAGGAGGGACUUGGUGUGGGUGACAUGGCUGCAGUCAAGAGGCUCCUGGCUGGGGGAGGUCACUGAACUCCCCCGAGGGCUGCCGAGGGAAGCUGGUGUGUACAGGCUCUUCUCAGCUGGAACAGACACCUAAAAGCAACUGAAGUGCACCUGAGAUGCGCCUUGAAUUGCACCUUUGGUUUUUGUCUUUUGUUAACCAUAAAAAAACCCCACCAAGGUGACUGUAGCACAUAUAUAGCACUUUGAGUGUCUUAAGGAUGAAUGUUAUCACAUAAUGGUAAAAAUUCCAAAAUCAGUGCUUUAACUCCUUUCGGUUUUAACAUAGUUCUACCUUGCUGCUUUUGUUACCUUUCCCAAUAAAAAUUUGGAAAGAAAUAUCAUAUUCCUUAUAAAUUAUAAAUUUACCCUCCAGCACCUGGCAGUGGAUUGCUUGGUACUGUUUGCCCACAAAUUGAUUAUUUUAGUCUCUUCAUAUGAGUCAGUGGCCAUGUGCUGAUGCCAGGAAAGCACCUGGUUGUGUGGGUCACUUAAAUGGUUCACCUGAGACAGCUGGGUUGAAAUGUUAAGAAAAAUUGUCAACUGAAUUUCCAGCAAUCCUUCAAACUUUUUUUUUUCUCUUUUUUUUUUUACCUUUUUUUUUAUUUUCAAUUCUAGGUAAAGGCAAAGCCUACGGCUCUUUUCCCUCAGACACCUCAGGCUGUACUGGUGCUCAGAAAAAGGUGGGUAGUGUCUUUCCUUCUUCACAGAGAGGUGUAAAUCUUAAAGCUUAAUUAAAGCAAUUUGAGUAGUAAUAAUAUUAUCCACUUGAAAGUAGAAACAUUUUGAUGUUCUAGAAUAAUCUGGCCUAAGGAAUAUAUUCUCACUCUCUUUGCAAUUAAAGUGAUUUGGUGCAUGUUACUCUUUUUAAUCUUCUCCUUAAGCUUUGAAACCUGUCUUGCAGGGAUCAGGGCUCAUCUCUUGUCUCAAGGGUUUCAGCCUCAGUGACUGGUUGAAAUUAGGCUCAGGUACAAAAGUCUCUACUAGUAAGUUUCUGGGGAGAAUCUUGGUUCCUGUGGCAUCCCAGCUCAGAAUCCCAUGCUGCUGGAAAGCUCAGGUAUCUCUCUGGACUCUUAGAGCACAGCAUGUUUUCAGAGGCAGUUCAGUUUCAUAGAAAUGCUCCUCCCCUCCUGUUCUCCCUGCUCCUUUACAGACUCCACAGUGGCCACUGAAUUACUGGCACUGAGCCCUCACAGGACCAGGGUCUUAAGAAGAAAGUCAGGCUGGCCUUAAAGCACAUUGGCUUUUUUAAGGGCUCAGAUCCCACCCCUUACAAAGCCCAGGCUGUGGAGUGUGAGCUGCAAAUACAUUAGAGAGUUCAGAGCAAUCUGGACACUCAAAUAUUGUCCUGGUUUUUCUCUCCUCUCACACAAUUUCCUAACAAUGCUCUCGUCCUCCACUGCUUUCUUCUGCUGACAAGCAGUAUUGUGUCCUUUGGAGUGAUGAAAGGCAAAGGCACUGAACAGCAUCAUCAACACGUGGCAGUUCCUUUCAUUUUUAAUUAAAUAUAUGACAGCCAAUGGACCAGUAAUGUACCUAAAUAAACCACAUUCAUAGAACAAAGGAAGAAGACACUCUUGAGCACUAAGUUUAAUACACAGUGGGUAUCCAAUGGAUACAACAGAAAAGUUAAUUCAUUCAGAAUUGUAAGGAAGCAACAGUUGUGCAUUUUGAUUUUUUUGCUCAGUUUCACCAGGUGCAAACAUUUGAACCAGGCCUCAGCAUCAGGCAGGUCCAUGGACAGAGUAAAAGGAGACACUUGCUCAUUAUAACUGAGGGUAUUUUCAUUGCAAAACAAGGAAAUACAUAUUUAAUUAGCUUAAAAACUUUUUUUUAACAAGUAAAGAGUUACAGAGAGGAUCAGUUAACAAUUACAUGAAAUCAAAAGAGUCUGCUAAAGCAGAAGUGUUUCAGUUCAGCAGAGUAUCUCCCUCAUUCCUUAAGUGCUCUCUUCUCCUUCAGCCCCCAUGUUGCUUUUCAUCUAUUCCUGAUGACUAUUGCCCUCUGUGCUUCAUCCACACACAUGGUUGUCCUGGAGACCAGCUGUUUCCCUCCUUUUAAUUCUCUUUUUCCAGCACAAGCUGUCCUCUAACACCUGAGCUGUGGCAGACUCCUCCCUGAACAGACUCAAGGAAAUGUCUUUUCUAUGGGUAGUGCCUGACUGCAGUGCCCUCUAGCUCCUGCCCUACUGGUAAUUAAUUGCCUUCUUCAGGUAAUGAGAGGGAACUGACUCACAGCUCCAAGACUUUUCUUCCCACUCAUCUUUUGCAGAGACCAGGGUGACAGCAGCAGAAGCCUAGCCAAGGUGAUAAGCUGGGUAGGAUUCAGUGCUGAAGAGGAUAAUUUCAGUAGGAAGGUGCAGGGAAACCAGCAGCCAUGGUGCAGAUGAAUUAUCUGCAGUGUUCUGAUUGCCACAAAUAUCAGUGCUAAACUUUCUUGGCUUGGUCUAGAUGAGAAAGUCUGAUGCUUCUGGGUGUUAAACAUCAUCCAAGUAGAUGCCAAUCCUUAUGAGCAAUUCCUCCCACAGAUUUUGUAAAAUGGAAGCACUGGUGGGAAGUUGCUCACCAAUUUGCUCUUAUCUGCUCCAGAGAACAUGGACACCUGGCACUGCUGGGACACUGACAAGGGCCACUGGAGGACAGGGCAGCCUCCAGCCAGGAAGGAAACCACACACAGUUCAGGCAGAGGGCUCCUUUGUUGGCACAGUCUCUGCAGGGAGCUACUGAGUCGUGUUCGUGCUCUGCUUGCCAAGCUUUGGAAUAUUAAAGGAAAUGUAGUAGUGAAAACAUGAAGAGUCUGAGUGGGCCAACAGCUACUGAGCACAAGGAGCCCCUCUGCAAUAUCCUUACAUGCUGUGAACUUCUCUACAGCUGGAUUUUCAUUUGAAAAAUAGAACCCCAUUCUGGUUUUCUGAGCAGGGUUGGUCACUGGCUGUAGAAUUUUAUGUGGAGCUGAAGUUUCUUGGCUUGUUCCUUUGAUCCAGCAAAGCUGGAAGGCCUGAGAGGCGUCCUUGGAGCAGUCAAGUAUUUCAGGGUAUCCAGCUUCCCUUUUUACAUUAAACCUUCAUAAAAAAUCUGCCACUUUCCCCCUCCUUCCUUUGCAGAAUAUUGAUGUGUCUGCAGGCAACUCUCCUCAGCUCUGACUCUAUGGCACCAGUUAAAUCCUUGCCACCAAAAAACGUUUUCAGGCCAUGCAUUAUGCCUGUUGUUUCAGUUAGGGAAACUGAGGCUCAGGCUGGUUUCAGACUUUCAAUUGCAGGAACUGUUGGAUUGUGCUCUGGUGCUCAAAGGAUACUUUUUGAUCCUUUCUGAGGGGAAAAUGUUACUUUUCAGCUCACAAAAUCUUGAAGACACUGAAGCUUGCAGGCAAAGCUCACAUUACUCUAACAGGGGUGUUAUUCCUUUUAAUGUGCUGCCUUAGACAUUCACCUUGCUGGUGGCCUGACUCAAAAUCUUAUGUGAGGCUUUCUGCAAUUGCCCAGUUAAGAGUUCCCUCUUUCACCUGGGAGUGGUGACAGAUUUCAGCAAGCUGAGCUUUUCUGUCAGCCUGGCCUGGUUCCAUUCAUCUCCUUAUUGCUAGAAAUUGAAAUAUUUUUAUCCUGGUUCGGGCUGAGGUACAGCUUGCUGUGAGAACAGAGGUUACCUCUGCAGUGUGAAACAACUUUGAUGCAGUGUGGAUCUUGUUAGUUUGGGAUGCAGCAGGUGAGACUCCAGAAACUGUUCAACUUGUGGAAGCACUGGUUUGGAAAACCCAAACCUUUGGGCUCUCAAGGCAGGUAAAACCAAGCCCUUGGUUGUUAUUAGCCUUGAUGUAGUUGUGCCAAAGUCUCAGAGUAGAGCCCAACUGCUUGGCUUGGAUUGCAGGGAGAGGCUGGGAUCUGCUCCAGCUGAGAUGGGAGUUCCCCAGCUCCGCUUCUCCCCAGCAUGGCAGCUGCUUUCUGGGGACAAGGCUUUCUGAGACCUCACAUCUGUCAUCUGUCCCCUUCUGCUCUACUCCCACCUUGCCAACACGGUCAAUCUUGAGUGCUUUUUGUCACUUGGUUCAAGAUUUUAGUGACAGGAGCUUUCACUACAUGGGCAUUGGAAAGGAAGCACAUGUGGUGGGUGGUACUGCCAUGUGAAACAACUUCCCAAGGACAGCAGCACUAAAUGGGGAGUUAAAGAGCAAAGCUUGACUCCCCUAACAACCAAGGCUGUAUUUGCAGCCCCUCUUAGUUUUGCAUCUAGAAGGAAGAUUAGCAAAUGUUACACAGAAAACAGUUCUUGAAAUAAGCUCAUAGGGACACAGAUUCUUGGGAAACAAGA